rnacentral:sRNA from 1 species
GGAUGCUUCCUUCUUCCCAAUAGUUUCAUAUGCCUUCUCCUGAAAAUUGCCUACUCCAUUAAAGAGUAUGGAGUUCCCAGAUAAAGAAGAGCCAUUUGGUUACAGUAUAAAUGUAGCUUCAUUACCCCGCUAGCACUUUCAUACACGCUCUCAAGAUCCAUGUGUACUCUACUGGGUGUUCAAAUUAUGGCUCAUUCAUUCACUAACUGUAUGAGGUUGGCCAAGUUAC